rnacentral:sRNA from 1 species
AACUGACUGAAUAUACCAAGGUGGAAGAUUGUGAGUUUUCUUCAUUCUGUGGCUCACUGAGACAUUCUUAUUCCACAAAUGAAAAACAGAAGGUUGGAGUAAAAAAGAUUGUAUGGCAUGAUCACCUUCUAGAAGCAAUAAAUGGAUACGCUCAAGCAGCAUUAAUUAGAUACUACAGGAAUGCUUUGCCUUUUAUCUUUCCUUUGGAAGCAGUAUCCAUAAGCCUUCAUCAGAAGCUUCUAAAAGUGGAAGGAAUUUUUCUUUGUUAGAAUGGACCACGGGCUAAAUUAAAGGAGAUUGCUAUAAGCUGCUUUCAUGUUGUAUCAGAGUAAGAUGGACGGUAGCUUUGAUUGUGAUUGUGGUGAGCUGGAGCCACCUGAUCACUAACAAAAGACAUCUUCUGUUAACCAACAGCCACCAGGGCUUCCUGUUGAAAUAAAUAUAUAGCAACAAAGGAAGAAAAGAAGCAAAACGGAAAUAGUGCUUACCAGCACCUUAGAAUGAUGCUGCUCAGGACCAGUCCAACACUGAAUGUAUCUGCACUGUGAGGAGA